AACGAACGCUGGCGGCGUGGAUAAGACAUGCAAGUCGAACGGGAUUACUUUUGGUAGCAAUACCGAAAGUAAUUCAGUGGCGAACGGGUGCGUAACACGUGGGCAAUCUGCCGAAAAGUGGGGGAUAGCUCGCCGAAAGGCGAAUUAAUACCGCAUGUGGUGAGGGACGACAUCUUCCUGAAUCCAAAGCCGGGGCAACCUGGCGCUUUUUGAGGAGCCCGCGGCCUAUCAGCUAGUUGGCGGGGAACGGCCCACCAAGGCUAUGACGGGUAGCUGGUCUGAGAGGACGACCAGUCACACUGGAACUGAGACACGGUCCAGACACCUACGGGUGGCAGCAGUCGAGAAUUUUUCNCAAUGGGCGAAAGCCUGAAGGAGCGACGCCGCGUGGAGGAUGAAGGCUUUCGGGUUGUAAACUCUGUCAUUUGAGAACAAGGUUGCGCGGUUAACUGCCGCGUAAUUGAUAGUAUCA
rnacentral:rRNA from 1 species